AAGGUUUAGUUAAAAAAUAACGUUAGCUUGUCAAGCUAUAAUUAAUAUUAUAUAUUAAUCUUUAA
rnacentral:tRNA from 1 species